GAAGAGUAUCGUCCCCGGUGGGGCGCGCGGCCUUCAAAGCCGUUGAGGUGCGAAUACGUGCCUGGUGGGUUCGACUCCUACCUCUU
rnacentral:tRNA from 1 species